rnacentral:lncRNA from 1 species
GGCUGACACAGAAGAGGGUACCUGCGGAGGCAAAUGGAAGAAAGAGCCCAACAGGUGGAAUCAUAUUAGAGAGUCUUGAACGCCAAGAUGAGGCAAGCUUUUCAUUCGAGGGUACAUGAAGACUCAGGCCCCACCCAUGGAGGGUAGAACACACAUUUGCUGAAGACUUUAUGUGCUGGGCUGAUUCAACUGGGCUGGAUUCCAGGCCCAUCACUGACUAUGCUUCUGUCAUUUCAACGGAGAGAAGAGGAAAUGAGGAUAAGUUCCAGA